rnacentral:piRNA from 1 species
GAGCUUGUUAAUGGUGGUGAACACGAGU